UCUCCAAAUCACAAUUGAUCUGAAUCAAAACUCGCAGGUCCAGGCCCUAGCCUGGUCAGCCUCCUUCCUACUCUGUAGGGGAAGGCAAGGAAAAGUCACUCCUUCUGCUCUUUUCAACCAGAAACUCUCUUCUUCCCUCCCAAAGGCACCACCGUGAGGCCACUUUUCUCCAUCCUAACCUUCUAGCGCUUCUGACCUCACAACACAAAAGGCAGCUUUAAGUCUGUAAACUGAAAAAGCCCAUGACCAGCAGGGGGAGAAGAUGAAAACGACAAGGACUUUCCCUCAACUUCCUCUGGGAUGAGAGAGCCCACCGAUCUCCGCCAGGAGGGCAGAGGUUCCAUGGACUUCCAGCACCCGAGAGAAGCGAAUGUGUGUAACAGGGAGCACAGUGUCCUGUCUGGAGCUGAGUUCCUUCUCCAGGCUUCUCUCUUCACAAACUCAUUGGAACAAAGAAAAAUCCAAGAGCAGCAAAACAUUGACAAUGCAUCGAAGCAGCUUUAUGAACAAAAUCUGGCUUCACCGGGCUACGAGAAAGAACUCAUUUCCAAUGAAUGUCAUAAAAAUGUAAGAGCUUAAAGAAUAAAUAUGCGUGUGUUUCCUAACAUUGCUAUUUGCCUGCA